GCCCUGCAGGGGUCUGCCCAUGGCCCUGGCUGAGUGCUGAGAAGUGGAAUGAGUAUCUAGAGGAAGUAAAAGUCCCAACAAGGUUUCAGCAGGUGAACCUGCAGAUGGAUCAUUA
rnacentral:ncRNA from 1 species